CCUACGGGUGGCAGCAGUAAGGAAUCUUCCUCAAUGGGCGAAAGCCUGAUGGAGCAAAGCCGCGUGGGUGAAGAAGGUCUUCCGAUCGUAAAACCCUUUUGUUAGAGGAGUAAGUGCGUGAGAGUAACUGUUCACGUUUCGACGGUAUCUAACCAGAAAGCCACGGCUAACGACGUCCCAGCAGCCGCGGCAAUACGUGGGUGGCAAGCGUUAUCCGGAUUUAUUGGGCGUAAAGGGAACGGGGGCGGUUGUUUAAGUCUGAUGUGAAAGUCUUCGGCUUAACCGGAGUAGUGCAUUGGAAACUGGGAGACUUGAGUGCAGUAGAGGAGAGUGGAACUCCAGGUGUAGCGGUGAAAUGCGUAGAUAUAAGGAAGAACACCAGUGGCGAAAGCGGCUCUCUGGUCUGUAACUGACGCUGAGGUUCGAAAGCGUGGGUAGCAAACAGGAUUAGAUACCCCAGUAGUC
rnacentral:rRNA from 1 species